rnacentral:rRNA from 1 species
UACAGAGGGUGCGAGCGUUAAUCGGAUUUACUGGGCGUAAAGGGCGCGUAGGCGGUAAAGCAAGUAAGAUGUGAAAGCCCCGGGCUUAACCUGGGAAGUGCAUCUUAAACUGCUUAACUAGAGUAUGGUAGAGGGUAGUGGAAUUUCCGGUGUAGCGGUGAAAUGCGUAGAUAUCGGAAGGAACGCCAGUGGUGAAGACGACUACCUGGAUCAAUACUGACACUGAGGCGCGAAAGCGUGGGGAUCAAACAGG